rnacentral:rRNA from 1 species
UACAGGGGGUGCAAACGUUGCUCGGAAUCAUUGGGCGUAAAGCGCACGUAGGCGGUCUGUUAAGUCGGACGUGAAAUCCCUCGGCUCAACCGGGGAACUGCGUCCGAUACUGGCGGGCUUGAAUUCGGGAGAGGGAUGUGGAAUUCCAGGUGUAGCGGUGAAAUGCGUAGAUAUCUGGAGGAACACCGGUGGCGAAGGCGGCAUCCUGGACCGACAUUGACGCUGAGGCGCGAAAGCCAGGAGAGCAAACGGG